UACGAAGGGGGCUAGCGUUGCUCGGAAUCACUGGGCGUAAAGCGCACGUAGGCGGGCCUUUAAGUCGGAGGUGAAAUCCUGGAGCUCAACUCCAGAACUGCCUUCGAUACUGAGGAUCUCGAGUCCGGGAGAGGUGAGUGGAACUGCGAGUGUAGAGGUGAAAUUCGUAGAUAUUCGCAAGAACACCAGUGGCGAAGGCGGCUCACUGGCCCGGUACUGACGCUGAGGUGCGAAAGCGUGGGGAGCAAACAGG
rnacentral:rRNA from 1 species